UGCCAGCCGCCGCGGUAAUACAGAGGGUGCAAGCGUUAAUCGGAAUUACUGGGCGUAAAGCGUGCGUAGGUGGUUUGAUAAGUCAGGUGUGAAAUCCCAGAGCUCAACUUUGGAAUUGCGCUUGAAACUGUCAGGCUAGAGUACUGUAGAGGGUAGUGGAAUUUCCGGUGUAGCGGUGAAAUGCGUAGAUAUCGGAAGGAACACCAGUGGCGAAGGCGACUACCUGGACAGACACUGACACUGAGGCACGAAAGCGUGGGUAGCAAACCGGAUUAGAUA
rnacentral:rRNA from 1 species